rnacentral:rRNA from 1 species
CUAAAUACUACCCAGUGACCGAUAGCGUAUAGUACUGUGAAGGAAAGGUGAAAAGAACCCCGGGAGGGGAGUGAAAAGAACCUGAAACCUUGUGCUUACAAGCACACAAAGCACGUCAACGUGUGAUGUGGUACCUUUUGUAGAAUGGUCCGGCGAGUGAAUGUAACUGGCGAGGUUAAGUUCUUAAGGAACGGAGCCGAAGCGAAAGCAAGUCUGAAUAGGGCGUCUUAGUCAGUUGUAUUCGACCCGAAACCGGGUGACCUAUCCAUGUCCAGGAUGAAGUUAAGGUAAAACUUGAUGGAGGUCCGAACCCACGGUCGUUGAAAUGCCCGGGGAUGAGAUGUGGAUAGCGGAGAAAUUCCAAUCGAACCCGGAUAUAGCUGGUUCUCUCCGAAAUAGCUUUAGGGCUAGCCUCGACUGAACAUUACCGGAGGUAGAGCACUGAAUGGGCUAGGGGCCGAGAGGUUACUGAACCCUAUCAAACUUCAAAUGCCGGAAAAUGAUAGUCGGGAGUCAGACUGCGUGAGAUAAGUUUCGUAGUCGAAAGGGAAACAGCCCAGACCCACAGCUAAGGUCCCAAAGUACGGUUAAGUGGAAAAGGAUGUGGAGUUGCACAGACAACCAGGAUGUUGGCUUAGAAGCAGCCACUCAUUAAAAGAGUGCGUAAUAGCUCACUGGUCGAGUGACUCUGCGCCGAAAAUUUAACGGGGCUAAAUCGUACACCGAAGCUUGGGAUGCAUCUAUGAUGCAUGGUAGGAGAGCGUUGAAUGCGGGGUGAAGUCAGAGCGAAAGCGCUGGUGGACUGCAUUGAAGUGAGAAUGCCGGAAUGAGUAGCGAGAUUUAUGUGAGAAUCAUAAAGGCCGAAAGACUAAGGUUUCAGAAGGAAGGUUCGUCCGCUUCUGGUUAGCCGGGAGCUAAGGUGAGGCCGAAAGGCGUAGCCGAUGCACAUACGGUGGAGAUUCCGUAGCCGUCGAAAUAUUUAAGCAAAGGGACACUUAUGAAGGACAUGACCCGGGCGAUGGUAGCCCCGGGCGUAAGGGACUGAAAACAAGUAAGGAAGCAUGUUUGGAUUAAGGCGAGAAAAGCUUUGUGUAUAUAUGAGACGUCCGUACCGCAAACCGACACAGGUAGUCAGGAAGAGGAUUCUAAGGCCAACGGGAGAAGGGUAGUUAAGGAACUCGGCAAAUUGACCCCGUAACUUCGGGAUAAGGGGCGGUGCGUAAGCACCCGCAGUGAAUAGGUCCAGGCGACUGUUUAUCAAAAACACAGCUCUCUGCUAAAUCGAAAGAUGACGUAUAGGGGGUGACACCUGCCCGGUGCUGGAAGGUUAAGAGGAGGAGUGCAAGCUCCGAAUUGAAGCCCCAGUAAACGGCGGCCGUAACUAUAACGGUCCUAAGGUAGCGAAAUUCCUUGUCGGGUAAGUUCCGACCCGCACGAAUGGUGUAACGAUCUGGACGCUGUCUCAACUGCCCACCCGGCGAAAUUGUAGUACCGGUGAAGAUGCCGGUGGUGGUCAUUGCCACGGUGGAAGGAGAUAUCCAUGAUAUCGGCAAGAAUCUGGUGGCACUGAUGUUAAAAAACCACGGAUUCCAUGUGAUCGAUCUGGGCAAGGAUGUGCCGCAGGCGAAAAUUCUGGAGUCGGCGAAAGAACAUCAUGCGGAAUUUAUUGCCCUGUCAGCACUGAUGACCACCACCAUGCAGAGAAUGCGGGAGAUCGUGGCAGCCGCAAAAGAAGAAGGCAUCACCGCCAAGAUCAUCAUCGGCGGCGCUGUCAUUACGCAGGAAUAUGCGGAUGAGAUCGGUGCCGACGGCUAUUCCAAGGAUGCGGCGGAUGCCGUUAAACUGGCCAAAAGCCUGAUGUAAAAGAGUCUGAAACAACAGAAAUAAUGGAGUAUAGAUAAAGGAGCAAAGCAAAAUGAUUGGAGCAGAUGCGAUUAUUAAAUGUCUGGAAGCAGAGGGGGUAAGUACUGUUUUCGGAUAUCCCGGUGUUGCCAUAUGUCCUUUUUUCAACAGCAUUCUGGAUUCUGACAUCAAAACGGUGUUGAUCCGUACAGAACAGAACGCGGCCCAUGCGGCCAGCGGUGUUGCCCGUAUGACCGGAAGACCCGGUGUAUGUGCGGUGACCUCCGGCCCCGGUGCCACCAAUGUGAUCACCGGUAUUGCCACGGCAUUUGCUGACAGUAUCCCCAUGAUCUGCAUUACCGGUCAGGUCAACAGUGAACUGCUGGGCAGUGAUGUGUUCCAGGAGGCGGAUAUUACCGGCGCCGUGGAAUCUUUUGU